rnacentral:rRNA from 1 species
AACGAACGCUGGCGGCAUGCCUAACACAUGCAAGUCGAACGAGACCUUCGGGUCUAGUGGCGCACGGGUGCGUAACGCGUGGGAACCUGCCCUUAGGUUCGGAAUAACUCCCCGAAAGGGGUGCUAAUACCGGAUAAUGUCUUCGGACCAAAGAUUUAUCGCCUUUGGAUGGGCCCGCGUUGGAUUAGCUAGUUGGUAGGGUAAAAGCCUACCAAGGCGACGAUCCAUAGCUGGUCUGAGAGGAUGAUCAGCCACACUGGGACUGAGACACGGCCCAGACCCCCGGGGGGGGGAGGAGGGGGAAAUAUGGCACAGGGGGCAAGAGCGUGACCCAGAAGCCCCGGGAGUGUUAUGAGGGCUAGGGGUGUAUAACGCUUUUUUACCGGGUAUGAUAAGGAGGGCCCGGAGAAAAAACGCCCCGGAUAACCCC